rnacentral:precursor_RNA from 10 species
GACAGUUGGAAGUGGAAGAUAGAUCAUGUUGCUUACAUUCUGAACGUCUAAAGGUUUCCUGUUGCAAAUAUCAGGAAGAUGUUCUUAAUGUAGGCUUCCGUUGUCUGUCGUUGGCGACCUCUUGACCU